rfam:Labeotropheus fuelleborni strain Domwe Island LFTEA1048685_1, whole genome shotgun sequence.
UUUUUAUCGGGAGCAGUGCCUUCCAUAAUAA